rnacentral:rRNA from 1 species
UACGAAGGGGCUAGCGUUGCUCGGAAUCACUGGGCGUAAAGCGCACGUAGGCGGACUCUUAAGUCGGUGGUGAAAUCCUGGAGCUCAACUCCAGAACUGCCUUCGAUACUGAGAGUCUCGAGUCCGGGAGAGGUGAGUGGAACUGCGAGUGUAGAGGUGAAAUUCGUAGAUAUUCGCAAGAACACCAGUGGCGAAGGCGGCUCACUGGCCCGGUACUGACGCUGAGGUGGCGAAAGCGUGGGGAGCAAACAGGG